AUUGCCACAUAAAAUACGGAAGGCCCAGUUACAUUUGCAUUUCAGAUCAACAGUGAAUAUCUUUGUAUAAAUAUUUUGCAAAUAUUGCAUGGGGCAUAUUUGUGCUAAGAAAACAAUUGUUGUUUAUCUGAAAUUCAAAUUAACUGGGCAUCUUGUAUUUUUUAUUUGCUAAAUCUGGCAGGCCUGCAGGAAAGUCAUAAUGUGGCCCUGGCUGGCAUGAAGUGCAGUUGCAGCCUUCUCUCUUGUGUUCUUGAAGGGUUCAAAGUGCCUUGCAGUCUGAGAAAGAGCCAGAGAGGCACUCUCCUUGAGUCCUACUCUGCAACCACGCCUUUCCGAGCGGCCGCUCUCUUGUAUGCUGGGGAAGGGAGGAUGACGUUAACCAAAAGGACCGGGCAGCAGACAUGAGGAGCAACAAAGCACAAGACAAGCACACAGGGCACAGGUUGCUGAAAAGGGCACAGACGGCACGGCACAUUCUGCCCAAGCUGGAGAGACAAACAUGAUUAGAAAGAGGCAGAAUGGAAUACACUCCUGACGUCAGUGGGCAAGAGGGGACGAAGCAAUAAAGGGAAAAUGCUGUAAAGGAAAACUGGAA